rnacentral:rRNA from 1 species
UCUUGAGGAAAUUUGGUAUCAUGGCGUGGGGAAGUCCUUGACCAUGGGUUGCAAGAUAGGUUGAAAACCUUAUCUUGUAACACUGGAAAGUAAUCGGUGUUUUAUCGGACACUGGUGAACUGGCGACAGAGGACUUUUUGCUCGUCACCUGGGAUGAAAAUCCUGGCAAGUCGAAACUUGAUAGGAAUUGGGGA